GAUGAACGCUGGCGGCGUGCCUAAUACAUGCAAGUCGAGCGAACGGACGAGAAGCUUGCUUCUCUGAUGUUAGCGGCGGACGGGUGAGUAACACGUGGAUAACCUACCUAUAAGACUGGGAUAACUUCGGGAAACCGGAGCUAAUACCGGAUAAUAUUUUGAACCGCAUGGUUCAAAAGUAAAAGACGGUCUUGCUGUCACUUAUAGAUGGAUCCGCGCUGCAUUAGCUAGUUGGUAAGGUAACGGCUUACCAAGGCAACGAUGCAUAGCCGACCUGAGAGGGUGAUCGGCCACACUGGAACUGAGACACGGUCCAGACUCCUACGGGAGGCAGCAGUAGGGAAUCUUCCGCAAUGGGCGAAAGCCUGACGGAGCAACGCCGCGUGAGUGAUGAAGGUCUUCGGAUCGUAAAACUCUGUUAUUAGGGAAGAACAUAUGUGUAAGUAACUGUGCACAUCUUGACGGUACCUAAUCAGAAAGCCACGGCUAACUACGUGCCAGCAGCCGCGGUAAUACGUAGGUGGCAAGCGUUAUCCGGAAUUAUUGGGCGUAAAGCGCGCGUAGGCGGUUUUUUAAGUCUGAUGUGAAAGCCCACGGCUCAACCGUGGAGGGUCAUUGGAAACUGGAAAACUUGAGUGCAGAAGAGGAAAGUGGAAUUCCAUGUGUAGCGGUGAAAUGCGCAGAGAUAUGGAGGAACACCAGUGGCGAAGGCGACUUUCUGGUCUGUAACUGACGCUGAUGUGCGAAAGCGUGGGGAUCAAACAGGAUUAGAUACCCUGGUAGUCCACGCCGUAAACGAUGAGUGCUAAGUGUUAGGGGGUUUCCGCCCCUUAGUGCUGCAGCUAACGCAUUAAGCACUCCGCCUGGGGAGUACGACCGCAAGGUUGAAACUCAAAGGAAUUGACGGGGACCCGCACAAGCGGUGGAGCAUGUGGUUUAAUUCGAAGCAACGCGAAGAACCUUACCAAAUCCUGACAUCCUUUGACAACUCUAGAGAUAGAGCCUUCCCCUUCGGGGGACAAAGUGACAGGUGGUGCAUGGUUGUCGUCAGCUCGUGUCGUGAGAUGUUGGGUUAAGUCCCGCAACGAGCGCAACCCUUAAGCUUAGUUGCCAUCAUUAAGUUGGGCACUCUAAGUUGACUGCCGGUGACAAACCGGAGGAAGGUGGGGAUGACGUCAAAUCAUCAUGCCCCUUAUGAUUUGGGCUACACACGUGCUACAAUGGACAAUACAAAGGGCAGCGAAACCGCGAGGUCAAGCAAAUCCCAUAAAGUUGUUCUCAGUUCGGAUUGUAGUCUGCAACUCGACUACAUGAAGCUGGAAUCGCUAGUAAUCGUAGAUCAGCAUGCUACGGUGAAUACGUUCCCGGGUCU
rnacentral:rRNA from 1 species